rnacentral:rRNA from 1 species
UACGGGAGGCAGCAGUGGGGAAUAUUGCACAAUGGGCGAAAGCCUGAUGCAGCUAUGCCGCGUGUAUGAAGAAGGCCUUAGGGUUGUAAAGUACUUUCAUCGGGGAGGAAAAACAAAACUAAUAAUUUUAUUCUUGACGUUACCCGAAAAAGAAGCACCGGCUAACUCCGUGCCAGCAGCCGCGGUAAUACGGAGGGUGCUAGCGUUAAUCAGAAUUACUGGGCGUAAAGAGCACGUAGGUGGUUUUUUUAAGUUCAGAUGUGAAAUCCCUGGGCUUAACCUAGGAACUGCAUUUUGAAACUGAAAUACUAGAGUAUCGUAGAGGGAGGUAGAAUUCUAGGUGUAGCGGUGAAAUGCGUAGAUAUCUGGAGGAAUACCUGUGGCGAAAGCGGCCUCCUAAACGAAUACUGACACUGAGGGUGCGAAAGCGUGGGGAGCAAACAGGGAUUAGAUACC